rnacentral:rRNA from 1 species
ACUCAAAUGAAUUGACGGGGACUUGCACAAGCGGUGGAUCAUGCGGCUCAAUUCGAUGACAAACGAAGAACCUCACCAGGGUUUGAAACACUAACGUAAGCCUUAGGAAACUUUGGCCCCCGCAAGGCGGUAGUGCAGGUGAUGCAUGGUCGUCGUCAGUUCGUGGCUUGAGUUGUUCCCUUCAGUGGGGUAACGAACGCAACCCUCGUUGCCUGUUUUAUAUGUCAGGCGAGACUGCCCCCUCACGGGGGAGGAAGGUGAGGAUGACGCCAGAUCAGCAUGUCCCUCUGAUAUCCUGGGCUGCACGCAUGAUACAAUGCACUCGACAACGAGACGCAAUGGGGUAACCCGGAGCAAAUCUGUAAACGAGUGCCCAGUUCGGAUUGAGGUCUGCAACUCGACCUCAUGAAGCCGGAAUCGCUAGUAAUCGCGGGUCAGCUAUACCGCGGUGAAUACGUUCUCAAGUCUUGUACACACCGCCCGU